GGAAGGGUGCCGGAGUGGUUGAACGGGGCAGUCUCGAAAACUGUUGUCCUGCUUACGCGGGACCGAGAGUUCGAAUCUCUCCCCUUCCGCCA
rnacentral:tRNA from 1 species